GUGGCUGUAAAACAACAAGGUUACUAACCUGAGAACAGAGAGUCGAGGGUGACUGUAAAACAACAAGGUUACUAACCUGAGAACAGAGAGUCCCAGGUGACUGUAAAACAACAAGGUUACUAACCUGAGAACAGAGAGUCCCAGGUGACUGUAAAACAACAAGGUUACUAACCUGAGAACAGAGAGUCCCAGGUGACUGUAAAACAACAAGGUUACUAACCUGAGAACAGAGAGUCCCAGGUGACUGUAAAACAACAAGGUUACUAACCUGAGAACAGAGAGUCCCAGGUGACUGUAAAACAACAAGGUUACUAACCUGAGAACAGAGAGUCGAGGGUGACUGUAAAACAACAAGGUUACUAACCUGAGAACAGAGAGUCCCAGGUGACUGUAAAACAACAAGGUUACUAACCUGAGAACAGAGAGUCCCAGGUGACUGUAAAACAACAAGGUUACUAACCUGAGAACAGAGAGUCCCAGGUGACUGUAAAACAACAAGGUUACUAACCUGAGAACAGAGAGUCGAGGGUGACUGUAAAACAACAAGGUUACUAACCUGAGAACAGAGAGUCCCAGGUGACUGUAAAACAACAAGGUUACUAACCUGAGAACAGAGAGUCCCAGGUGACUGUAAAACAACAAGGUUACUAACCUGAGAACAGAGAGUCCCAGGUGACUGUAAAACAACAAGGUUACUAACCUGAGAACAGAGAGUCCCAGGUGACUGUAAAACAACAAGGUUACUAACCUGAGAACAGAGAGUCCCAGGUGACUG